rnacentral:rRNA from 1 species
AGAGUUUGAUUAUGGCUCAGAUUGAACGCUGGCGGCAGGCCUAACACAUGCAAGUCGAACGGUAACAGGAAACAGCUUGCUGUUUCGCUGACGAGUGGCGGACGGGUGAGUAAUGUCUGGGAAACUGCCUGAUGGAGGGGGAUAACUACUGGAAACGGUAGCUAAUACCGCAUAACGUCGCAAGACCAAAGAGGGGGACCUUCGGGCCUCUUGCCAUCGGAUGUGCCCAGAUGGGAUUAGCUAGUAGGUGGGGUAACGGCUCACCUAGGCGACGAUCCCUAGCUGGUCUGAGAGGAUGACCAGCCACACUGGAACUGAGACACGGUCCAGACUCCUACGGGAGGCAGCAGUGGGGAAUAUUGCACAAUGGGCGCAAGCCUGAUGCAGCCAUGCCGCGUGUAUGAAGAAGGCCUUCGGGUUGUAAAGUACUUUCAGCGGGGAGGAAGGGAGUAAAGUUAAUACCUUUGCUCAUUGACGUUACCCGCAGAAGAAGCACCGGCUAACUCCGUGCCAGCAGCCGCGGUAAUA